CGGCUCUUUUUCUGGAAGGAGGUACUCUCCAAGAGUCUGAGAAUCCGACUCACUCUCAUAUAACCCCUAUUCCUCUAUAAACUCCUCCUUUUUCUCCGUUGUUCCUCAAAUCACGUCGUUGCUCGCUGCCAAAACUACACUACAGUGUGCAAGGAUGGUCCGUAGCGGUGACGGGGUGAAAUGGUAGCGAGGCCGUGGGACUGCGUGGCUGAGCGGAGCGCUGGCUGGGCAAGAUUUGAUGAAGAAACCCGAUCGAACAGGAACAGAUUCUAAGUUUUGUUGAAGAACUGAAAAUUAACAAUAUGACAACAAAUGCUACUGCACCAACAUGCCAAAAGAUCAGAGAUAGAAUACGAAAAGCCAAUAGCGGUAAUGGAGGCAAGCCACAUCGAAUCAACGAUUUACCAAAUUUUAGAGUGGGUUUCUAGUUUUGCUAUAAAGUCACUUUUCUUACUGAUGCUGUGACAUUUGAGAUUGUAACACACACUCAAUCAACCUUGGCCAUUCAUUUUGAAAUCUGCAGUAUAAGCUUUGUUCUUUGAGCUUUAAGCUUUGUGCAGGGGAUAGAGUAGGGUUGCUAUCUGAAGUAACUAGGAUUUUUUGCGAGAAUGGAUUGACUGUUACAAAAGCAGGUGUCACAACAGCUGGGGAGAAAGCCAUGAAUGUCUUUUAUGUAAGGGAUGCUUCAAACCACUGCAACCUAUUAAAAAUAUCAAUGUCUCAACAAACAGGCAAGCAAGACGAUAGUUGAGUUUGGAUGAUCCCAUCAAUUGCAUUUAGAGAUUCUGUUUUGAAGAUUCUGUGGCAAACUAUAACAAAACUAUACAUGUUUCGUCGACAAAUUGCUAUAGUUGUAUAGAAGUAUUGGCUGACAUGUUAAGAGCUAGCUCUUCAAGGUUGCCUUUUGUUGCAAAUUUUUAUCCAUGAAGAAUAUAUUUUGAAAUUUCUAAGGCUCA